ACACAGGUAUUCAGGAUCAUCAACAGGAGCUUCAUUGAUACAUCCGAGAGUUCGAGUUAGCUAUUGUGAGCCUCCUUGCUUUCGGAGGAUUUCAUUUACCUUUCAGUUAUAUCAGUUGUUAGGAUGUCGUGGGUCUUGUCCCGACUUCCAUCUUUAACAGUUAGAGGCUUCAUAGAUAGUCAGUAUAGUUGAGAAGUCUGUAUCAUUUAUUUUAUUAAAUGUUUUAAAGACUUAAGUUGCCUAUUUUAUGGCGAG
rnacentral:lncRNA from 1 species